UACGUAGGUGACAAGCGUUAUCCGGAAUUACUGGGCGUAAAGCGCACGCAGGCGGCAGCUUAAGUCUGACGUGAAAUCUCCUGGCUUAACUGGGAGAGGUCGUUGGAAACUGGGCAGCUUGAGGUGGUGAGAGGGGUGCAGAAUUCCCGGUGUAGUGGUGGAAUGCGUAGAUAUCGGGAGGAAUACCAGUGGCGAAAGCGGCGCCCUGGCACUGACCUGACGCUCAUGUGCGAAAGCGUGGGGAGCAAACGGG
rnacentral:rRNA from 1 species